UCUGCUGAUAAACAUUUACAUGGUGACAAG
rnacentral:piRNA from 1 species